GGCGAGCGCCAGCGCUGUCUAAUCACAUAAUUUUGAAUUUUCUAUAUCUUCAAUCUUGUACUUUGUAGUGUACACAAUACACUGUACACUGAACUAAAUAAUAUGUUUUAGUAAAUACUGUUUAAUAUUUAAACUAUUUAGUAUUUUAGUAUUUAAUUCAGUGGUAGUGUUACGCAUUAGCAGCAAAAAUGCCUGUUACAAAGAAUAACAAGAUGAUGCAGCACAUCAACUAUAGAGUGCGCGUCAUAUUACAAGAUUCUAGAAUGUUUAUCGGCACAUUUAAAGCCUUUGAUAAGCAUAUGAAUUUGAUUUUGGCUGACUGUGAAGAAUUUCGUAGAUUGAAAAGUAAAGCCAAAGUACCCACUAUACCCGCGGAACCAAGAGAAGAAAAGCGUGUUCUUGGUUUUGUCUUAUUACGUGGACAAAAUAUAGUAUCUAUAACUAUUGAAGGACCUCCUCCACCUGAAGAAGGUCUUCCUAGAGUACCACUGCCAGGUGGGGGUGGUCCAGGAUCUAGCCGUGCUGCUGGACGAGGGAUGCCCUCAGUUAUACCAUCAGCAGCUACACCUGGUUUACAAGGACCAGUGAGAGGUGUUGGAGGUCCUUCACCAGCUGCAAUGGCACCCACUAGAGGUGCUCCAGCUCAACCACCAAUAAGAGGUCCACCAAUGAUGGCUCCUCCACCAGGCAUAAUGGCUGGUAUGCCACCAAUGCCUGGUAUGGGUCGAGGUGGACCACCACCAAUGCCAGCCAACAACAUUCGUGGUCCUCCACCUAUGAUGAGAGGUCCUCCAGCUGGCCCAAGAGGAUAUUAGUGUGUAAUACUAAUAUUAUCUACUGAUGAUUUGUUAUUAUAACUAAAUAAAUAAUCAUAUAAUAUUUGACAGUUGUAUUACCAAUUUCAUAAACAAGUGAUGUUCAACCACAUAUUUUAUUUAGUAUUGUAAAUUCUUUUAAUGUAAUAACUACUAAUGAUAUCAUCACAUGAUUCUAUGUAUUACUAUAUAUUAUAUAAUAAUAUGAGAAUGAAAUUGAACAGACCGUUAUCGUUCACAGUGCUCCAUUACUCUUUCAGUCAUGUCCAGUAUACUACAUCCCCACACAAUUACAAUAACUUAGUAAUUUUUAUUUGACUACAAAAAUAUUAAUUAGAAAUAAUUUUUAUGGCAAAACAACUUUGCCAGGUAAUUGUUUUAAUAUACAUUAUUUAUAUUCCAAAUUUUUUUAAUAAAUAAAUGUUUAUAUUUUUUUUUCAUA